UAAUAUACGUCUAUUUAGGGCUGUUCGAUUAUUUCGAUUAAUCGAUUAUUACGACGAUUAUUAUUUUCAUCGAUUAUUUUACAGUUUUCAUAAAAUUCGAUUAAUCGCCAAAUAAUCUAAAUCGUUAUUUUGACGGUUCGAAUGAACUUCUAUUUUUAGCACAUUCCCCAAUUUUUUACUC